rnacentral:rRNA from 1 species
GUGAAGCCCAGCUUGCUGGGUGGAUCAGUGGCGAACGGGUGAGUAACACGUGAGCAACCUGCCCUCCACUUCGGGAUAAGCCUUGGAAACGGGGUCUAAUACCGGAUAUGAGCUCGCAUCGCAUGGUGUGGGUUGGAAAGUUUUUCGGUGGGGGAUGGGCUCGCGGCCUAUCAGCUUGUUGGUGGGGUGAUGGCCUACCAAGGCGUCGACGGGUAGCCGGCCUGAGAGGGCGACCGGCCACACUGGGACUGAGACACGGCCCAGACUCCUACGGGAGGCAGCAGUGGGGAAUAUUGCACAAUGGGCGCAAGCCUGAUGCAGCGACGCCGCGUGAGGGAUGACGGCCUUCGGGUUGUAGACCUCUUUCAGCAGGGAAGAAGCGCAAGUGACGGUACCUGCAGAAGAAGCGCCGGCUAACUACGUGCCAGCAGCCGCGGUAAUACGUAGGGCGCAAGCGUUGUCCGGAAUUAUUGGGCGUAAAGAGCUCGUAGGCGGUCUGUCGCGUCUGGUGUGAAAUCCCGAGGCUCAACCUCGGGCUUGCAUCGGGUACGGGCAGACUAGAGUGCGGUAGGGGAGACUGGAAUUCCUGGUGUAGCGGUGGAAUGCGCAGAUAUCAGGAGGAACACCGAUGGCGAAGGCAGGUCUCUGGGCCGCAACUGACGCUGAGGAGCGAAAGCAUGGGGAGCGAACAGGAUUAGAUACCCUGGUAGUCCAUGCCGUAAACGUUGGGCACUAGGUGUGGGGCUCAUUCCACGAGUUCCGUGCCGCAGCUAACGCAUUAAGUGCCCCGCCUGGGGAGUACGGCCGCAAGGCUAAAACUCAAAGGAAUUGACGGGGGCCCGCACAAGUGGCGGAGCAUGCGGAUUAAUUCGAUGCAACGCGAAGAACCUUACCAAGGCUUGACGUGUACGAGAAAGCCCCCGAGACGGGGUUCUCUUUGGACACUCGUACACAGGUGGUGCAUGGUUGUCGUCAGCUCGUGUCGUGAGAUGUUGGGUUAAGUCCCGCAACGAGCGCAACCCUCGUCCUAUGUUGCCAGCGGGUUAUGCCGGGGACUCAUGGGAGACUGCCGGGGUCAACUCGGAGGAAGGUGGGGAUGACGUCAAAUCAUCAUGCCCCUUAUGUCUUGGGCUUCACGCAUGCUACAAUGGCCGGUACAGAGGGCUGCGAUACCGUAAGGUGGAGCGAAUCCCAAAAAGCCGGUCUCAGUUCGGACUGGGGUCUGCAACUCGACCCCAUGAAGUCGGA